GUCUCUCCGUAGCUCAGUGGUUAGAGCAUCCGACCGGUGUAUGGAAGGUCAUGGGUUUGAGUCCCGUUUGGGACU
rnacentral:tRNA from 1 species